UUUGUCCAUAUUGCCUCAUUCAAUUAUGCUAAUAUUUCUGUUUAUCUCACUUUUUGGUCUUCCAGGAGGUAUUACUGAAGUGAGCUUCCAGUAUCCAGAUCCAAAGAGGUGGAUGGUGAAAGUAACCGGAACUACUCAAGUGUGAGGAAAACGGAGCUCACAGCACCAAAUAUUUCCUGCUGUUUGGAGGCUGAUUCUGACCUACAGCAGGCAUGGUAAGACUUGUCAAGUUCUUCCUCAUAUCUGGCUAU
rnacentral:lncRNA from 1 species